CCUACGGGUGGCAGCAGUGGGGAAUAUUGCACAAUGGGGGAAACCCUGAUGCAGCGACGCCGCGUGAGCGAUGAAGUAUUUCGGUAUGUAAAGCUCUAUCAGCAGGGAAGAAAAUGACGGUACCUGACUAAGAAGCCCCGGCUAACUACGUGCCAGCAGCCGCGGUAAUACGUAGGGGGCAAGCGUUAUCCGGAUUUACUGGGUGUAAAGGGAGCGUAGACGGCUGUGCAAGCCAGAUGUGAAAGCCCGGGGCUCAACCCCGGGACUGCAUUUGGAACUGUGUGGCUGGAGUGCAGGAGGGGCAGGCGGAAUUCCUGGUGUAGCGGUGAAAUGCGUAGAUAUCAGGAGGAACACCGGUGGCGAAGGCGGCCUGCUGGACUGCAACUGACGUUGAGGCCCGAAAGCGUGGGGAGCAAACAGGAUUAGAUACCCUAGUAGUC
rnacentral:rRNA from 1 species